CAACUCAUCUCCCGCACCUCUGCAACAACCACCACCACCUCCGCCAUGACCAACACCGCCACCACCUCCGCCACCAUCUUCAAUUCGAACAUGUUUGUAAUAACCUAAUUUCAUUUGAGAAAGAGAGUUUUAAGAGGAAUAAUUGAGAGAGGUAUAAAUUCUGGCUGGAAAUCAGUGGAAGAAUCAGCUGAGAUCGAGAUAAAAGCAUUAUCAUCAACAGUUAACCAUUAAGAUUUAGGAGAGAUCUCAUCUUAGGAUUCAAUUUCUGUUGCAUGUGCUAGAGGUACUAAUAUUGUUGAUUGGUGAAAUAUAUUUGGAGUCGGGUGCAGUGUUGCUAGUGACAAAGUUGGAGGUGGUGCUGGUGGAAGUGGAGGAUUAGGUUUGGAGAAGGAGAUGCUUUUGUAUUGGUUAUGGAAUUGGUGGAUGUGGAAUCAAAUAUUAAUUUGAUCUUAUGACUAUUGAAUCCUAGUGGUAAGGAUGCAGAUAUUAAACUUGAUGGAGGAACAUAACAGCCAAAUAUUGAGCUUGAUCCGGAUGUUCAGAGGCUUGUAACCUAGGUGCUUUCUGAAGGUACCGUUCCUUCUUGGAUCUUUAUAAAGGUACAUAAGGUUACUUUAUAAUUGUAACACCUAGAAAGCUUAAUCUCAUAUUAACAAAGUAGCUUUCAUGUAUAUGCACAUGUAGACGAUAAUUGAAUUUUUAUGUAAUCCAAACAAGGAAAUCUAGAGUUCCCAACCAAGUACUCUUGAUUUCUGAAGCAUUGGAAUGAGAUGAUUGUUGAUUUUUAAAGCCUCUUGGGGUAUGUAAUUAGGAUUCAUGAUUAGUUUAUUAGACUAGUUUUCUUUGUUUUGCUAUCCAA